GUGAAGGCUCACCAUAACAUGGUGUAGUAGUCAGCAGAGUGAAGGCUCACCAUAACAUGGUGUAGUAGUUAGCAGAGUGAAGGCUCACCAUAACAUGGUGUAGUAGUCAGCAGAAUGAAGGCUCACCAUAACAUGGUGUAGUAGUCGGCAGAGUGAAGGCUCACCAUAACAUGGUGUAGUAGUCGGCAGAGUGAAAGCUCACCAUAACAUGGUGUAGUAGUUAGCAGAGUGAAGGCUCACCAUAACAUGGUGUAGUAGUUAGCAGAGUGAAGGCUCACCAUAACAUGGUGUAGUAGUCAGCAGAAUGAAGGCUCACCAUAACAUGGUGUAGUAGUCGGCAGAGUGAAGGCUCACCAUAACAUGGUGUAGUAGUCGGCAGAGUGAAAGCUCACCAUAACAUGGUGUAGUAGUCAGCAGAGUGAAGGCUCACCAUAACAUGGUGUAGUAGUCAGCAGAGUGAAGGCUCACCAUAACAUGGUGUAGUAGUCGGCAGAGUGAAGGCUCACCAUAACAUGGUGUAGUAGUCAGCAGAGUGAAGGCUCACCAUAACAUGGUGUAGUAGUUAGCAGAGUGGAGGCUCACCAUAACAUGGUGUAGUAGUCGGCAGAGUGAAGGCUCACCAUAACAUGGUGUAGUAGUUGGCAGAGUGAAGGCUCACCAUAACUAUAACAUGGUGUAGUAGUCGGCAGAGUGAAGGCUCACCAUAACAUGGUGUAGUAGACGACAGAGUGAAGGCUCACCAUAACAUGGUGUAGUAGUCAGCAGAAUGAAGGCUCACCAUAACAUGGUGUAGUAGUCGGCAGAGUGAAGGCUCACCAUAACAUGGUGUAGUAGUCGGCAGAGUGAAGGCUCACCAUAACAUGGUGUAGUAGUUAGCAGAGUGAAGGCUCACCAUAACAUGGUGUAGUAGUCGGCAGAGUGAAGGCUCACCAUAACAUGGUGUAGUAGUCGGCAGAGUGAAGGCUCACCAUAACAUGGUGUAGUAGACGACAGAGUGAAGGCUCACCAUAACAUGGUGUAGUAGUUAGCAGAGUGAAGGCUCACCAUAACAUGGUGUAGUAGACGACAGAGUGAAGGCUCACCAUAACAUGGUGUAGUAGUCGGCAGAGUGAAGGCUCACCAUAACAUGGUGUAGUAGACGACAGAGUGAAGGCUCACCAUAACAUGGUGUAGUAGUUAGCAGAGUGAAGGCUCACCAUAACAUGGUGUAGUAGUCAGUGUUUUCCAAUCCUGGUCCUUGGGAACCAUUUUUGUUUUUGCACUAACACACCUGAUUGAAAUAAUAAAAAGCUUGUUGAUUAGUUGAAUGAAGGGUAUUAGUGCUCAGGGGGAAACUCCUUUGGGUUCCUAAGACCAGGAUUGGGGACCACUGGUGUAGCAUGUUGGCUGGAGUUCAUCAGUGACUUUCACCUUCACUGAGAUGUGAAGCAAACUGUCAUGGAGAGACAAACUAAUCUCUUGCUCUGUUGGCGAAGACUGUUGGCGGUUGACUACGAGUGACGUGCGAUGUUGCCCAUUAGGUCCAACGUUGUGAGUUCCAGCUCCGCUUGGCGUCAGCCUGGUCCCAGAUCUGGUUGAGAUUUGGCCUGGUCCUCCGUUGUCAUUGUUGGCAUGACAAUUCCAGGAGUAGUCGGCAGAAGAGCAGAAGCAGAUUGGCCCGCAGGCUAGCUUGGGGUAGAACACAAUGUACUCUGACAGCGGUGCCACUGCCGUGACCUGGAUAGAUCACACAGUCAGGGUGCUGCGCAGUAGGAAGAGGUCAAAGGGCGGUGAAUGAAGUGGACAGCAGAGCCAUAUAUUUAAGAAAAGCUCAGCCAGCUUUUAAAGAACUCUUUGAACAUUGUUCUAAAUUCUAGACAUCCAGUUAUAUAGCAUCGUGUUUAAAUAUUCCCUGUGAAAUGUUCAUGGGGAACCAACAUGGCUGCCUUUAGAAUAUUGUGAUGUCAUGUAUAAAUGCUACGUCAACGUCCCAACUGUAAAUGUCUCUGAGGGUCACUAAUGGGAGUCUCGUGAGGACUGGGAACACACUGUAACAUUGUUUCAAUAAACCACACAGGAGCAUCAGUCAAUCAGUGUGCAGUGUUCUUUUACCUUGUGAUAUUGGAAUCCCUGGCGACCCCAUGAUUUGAGCCCUUAGUGUGGUGGACGUGAACCUAAACAACUUCAUUCUGACCUCAACUGCUCUCGCACUGAAGGUCACUAAGAGUGCAUCCAAAAUGGCACCCAGGACCAGGACCCAGGUCUAAAGUAGUGCACUAUGUAGGGAAUAGGGUGCCAAGGACCUGGUCUAAAGUAGUGCACUAUGUAGGGAAUAGGGUGCCAAGGACCUGGUCUAAAGUAGUGCACUAUGUUGGGAAUAGGGUGCCAAGGACCUAGUCUAAAGUAGUGCACCAUGUAGGGAAUAGGGUGCCAAGGACCUGGUCUAAAGUAGUGCACUAUGUAGGGAAUAGGGUGCCAAGGACCUGGUCUAAAGUAGUGCACUAUGUAGGGAAUAGGGUGCCAAGGACCUGGUCUAAAGUAGUGCACUAUGUAAGGAAUAGGGUGCCAAGGACCUGGUCUAAAGUAGUGCACUAUGUAGGGAAUAGGGUGCCAUAGAGCUCUGGUCUAAAGUAGUGCACUAUGUAGGGAAUAGGGUGCCAUAGAGCUCUGGUCUAAAGUAGUGCACUAUGUAGGGAGUAGGGUGCCAUAGAGCUCUGGUCUAAAGUAGUGCACUAUGUAGGGAAUAGGGUGCCAAGGACCUGGUCUAAAGUAGUGCACUAUGUAGGGAAUAGGGUGCCAAGGAUCUGGUCUAAAGUAGUGCACUAUGUAGGGAAUAGGGUGCCAAGGAUCUGGUCUAAAGUAGUGCACAAUGUAGGGAAUAGGGUGCCAAGGAUCUGGUCUAAAGUAGUGCACUAUGUAGGGAAUAGGGUGCCAAGGACCUGGUCUAAAGUAGUGCACUAUGUAGGGAAUAGGGUGCCAUAGAGCUCUGGUCUAAAGUAGUGCACUAUGUAGGGAAUAGGGUGCCAUAGAGCUCUGGUCUAAAGUAGUGCACUAUGUAGGGAAUAGGGUGCCAAGGACCUGGUCAAAAAUAGUGCACUAUGUAGGGAAUAGGGUCUAAAGUAGUGCACAAUGUAGGGAAUAGGGUGCCAUGCAUCUGUGAUUGACAGGUGAAGACAGACACUGAUCUGUUUAAUCUGCUGGUGGUGGUGAUGCCACACGGUGGCCCAGACCAGACGUCAUGGUUUACUGUGGUGUAAACAUCAUCUAUUCUAUUCAGAGAGAGAGGGCAGAUCCUGUAGAUUUCUCUUGGUGAGUGUGUGUGCGCACGCGGUGCGUCUGUUUGUAUGUGAGUGAGUGAGAACAGUGUGGGGCGCUGCCUGCUGAUAGUUAGCAUGUGGAUUAACCAGGAUCACAUUGGUAAUCUCUGAAGGCGCAAAGUUACCCAGACAUCCCUGCUUGGCUGACCUCCGACCCCUGGGAAAGAAAGUAUUUGAACUCCUAGAACCUGGCUGGGCCCUGUCCAGAAACAGCCCCUAACCCCUCUACCCAUGGCCUAACCACUUCAUGUAGUUCUGAGAGGAAUGGAUAGCUGUCAGCAGGUUGGUCUCAACCCUGACUUCCAUUUAUGUUACAUUUUCAUUUAGUCUCCCACUGACAUCAACACAUGACUGAGUUAUGGCCUAGGCCUCUGGGCUGUUUGUUGUGUUUCUGGACUGGGCCUGGAGAAGGCCUACUGUCUACUCUCUGUGGUCUAGCCAAGGGCCCUGGAGAAGGCCUACUGUCUACUCUCUGUGGUUUAGGCCUCUGGGCUGUUUGUGUUGUUUCUGGACAGGGCCCUAGAGAAGGCCUUCUGUCUACUCUCUGUUGCCUAGGGCCCUAGAGAAGGCCUACUGUCUACUCUCUGUGGUCUGGGCCUCUGGGCUGUUUGUGAUGUUUCUGGACAGGGCCCUAGAGAAUGCAAUACUGCUCAUCUGAAACUGUCCCAAUGAAUGCAUCGACAAAUAUAAUUUGUUGUUUAAAAGCAAAGUGUGUUUUGACUAUAAUGAUGAACCGUGUGUGUUUUGACUAUAAUGAUGAUCCAAGUGCGUGUUUUGACUAUAAUGAUGAUCCAAGUGCGUGUUUUGACUACAAUGAUGAUCCAAGUGCGUGUUUUGACUAUAAUGAUGAUCCAAGUGCGUGUUUUGACUAUAAUGAUGAUCCAAGUGCGUGUUUUGACUAUAAUGAUGAUCCAAGUGUGUGUUUUGACUAUAAUGAUGAUCCAAGUGUGUGUUUUGACUAUAAUGAUGAUCCAAGUGUGUGUUUUGACUAUAAUGAUGAUCCAAGUGUGUGUUUUGACUACAAUGAUGAUCCGUGAAAAGAAUGGAAAUGCCUUGGUCAUAAUGUGUUACUCAUGUUUUCUUAGGAUGGUUUGUGGAAAGACCCCCAUUGUAUAAAUGGAGAGAUUAACAGUGGGUCGAAAUAAAGGGAUUUAAAGUUAAA